rnacentral:ncRNA from 2 species
CCGGGGGUCAUGAGACGAUGACCGCCGAAUCGGGCGACGGGAGCUGAGGAAGCCGGUGUGAAUCCGGCGCGGUCCCGCCACUGUGACCGGGCACGACCCGGGAGCCAGACACUCACACCGUCGCCACCUCCACG